AUUAAAAGAAGUUUUUAACUCUUUUUAUAUUUGGAUUUCUUUAUUUUGAUUACAGUAACAGAAAAUUAAUUUUCACCUUUUUAUAUAUAAGAAUGAACAAUACUCAAAGCAUUUACUUCCAACUUUCCUGGAGAGGAAAACUAGGGACUGCACCAAAGUCAAACUUUAGCUGAAUGACCCUUUGCAGAAAAAGCAUGAUCUCCAGGCUUUUUCCCCCUAGGUCAAUAAACAGCAGGCAAGAUGAGAUAAGAAAGACAGCCUCAAUGUAUCAGUUAAAUUGUUACUAAAUAGUCUGAGUUUACUAGAACUUGCAAUUUGCAAACUAUGCUUUUACAACUCUGAAUAGAAACAAUGUUGAUGUCCCCUUGGAAUUAUUGUACUUUCCUGUAUGCAUUGGUGUUUUUCAAGGUUUCAAUGCAACGUUUAAUGUUGCAUUAUAAUGAAUGCAUUUAAAUUUACCUGAAUGUCCUAGAGAUUUUUCAUUUUCCAGUAAAUAAAUAAACAGGACUUCCCCUCUUAAUUGCACAGUUAUUUACACUACGUUUCUUUCAUAUGUGAGGCUAACAUGGUCCAGAGGAAUAAGCUAUGGGUGGACUGUCAAAUGCCUGAGUUUAAUUCAACCCCUGCAAUCAAGUAGCUGUGUGGUCUUGAACAAGUUACUAUACCUGCUAGCCUUAGACUUCCUACUGCACAGGGCUGUUGUGAGGAUUAGUAAAGCACUAUGCAAGUGCUAGGUAUUGUAUCAGAGAGCUGAAUGUGAGUGUGACCAACCUGACUUUAUGCAAGACUGGGAAAUAUUUGUUGCAAACUAAAGCUUAUCAGGGAAAUAAAAAUAAAACAAAAAACAAACCCCAAGGAGAAGAGCUGAUUUCAUACCUAAGUUUGUCUUCCAUUUAUGUGUUUUCACACAUUCCACCCUGGAAUUGUUCUCUCUAACCUAAUUACCCCUGCCCCCACCUCUCACUGUAUUCAUUUAGUAGAAGCUAGUAUUUCAGUAAUCAGUAGCCCUUUAAGACCCAGUCAAUACAUUCAAAUAGAGAUAAGAAGGUUCUAAUAGCUUUCAAAUCCACCAAGAAAAUAUAGCAGCAUCAAGUUAGGCUAAUGAGAUGUGGCUGAAGGGUUCUUCCUCUUGGAAGAAAAGCUCAAGAUUAAGCACUUUUUUGACCUUGAGAUUCACAAUUUAAGGGUAACACUGCAACACGAAGACAAUUCGCUAGGUAUCUGGGAAAUACUUUAGAGACAAUACAAGAAAGUGGGGGAAGAGAGCAUGAGUGGCCACUGAUUAGAGACGAAGCAGCACAAUUAUAAUACCUCUUUAAAAUGUUCAGCUAAACUAUUUUUACAUACUGUAAAUUGCUAAACAACAGAAUCUCACAAUACAUGCAGCUGCUUUUCAAAUGGAACCUACAGCAAAACCAUGUUACCCAAUACCAGAGCAAGCACCAAUCAAUCUCUUCACGUUACAUGUGCAUAAGAAUGCUUACACUUUACUUAAAAGCUUCCCUUAAAAGGUUUCCCUUGUAACUUGGAUAUUUUAUGUUUUUCAGUCACAUUCCUCAGUUUAGGGCCUCCUAAUCUUUUUAAUGAACUAGCUCCCAUUGUCAUGGAAAAGUUUUAUAAUGAUCCAAACUUGAGAAACUUACUCUGAGGAAUGAAAAAUUCCUCCCAAUUUUGUUUUUCUACCCCCGACAAAGGCAUUAAAUGCCUAUUUAACUCAUUUUCUCCAGUUCCUUUGAUUCUUCAUGGGGCUGUCUCCUGCGUCUUUCAAAGCAGCUGUGGAAAAGAAAGAGGCACAACCCAGUGGUAUUCCCAAGAGCAGAGUAGAGGCUCAUGGGGUACAAUAUUGAACCAAACAACCUGGUUGCGGUGGAAUUUUAGGCACAGGACUGUUAUUAACAUGCUAUUGUGUGUAUGAGCACUGGGCUCGCAGAGCCCGUUAUACAUGUGGAACUUUGCAGCCUAGCAUGGCUCUAACCUGCGGGAAUGGAAAUCAGGGCAAACUCCAGAGCCUUUCAUAUAAUCUAUUCCUUGGACUCCCUUUUGGAGAUGGUGCCUUGAAGCAAACAGCAGAACUCAGAUUAUGACUACUGAGAAUCAUCAGACUCUUCCCAAGAUACCUGCAUUGUUUCAUAGAGUUCUAGGUUUAUAAAAGGUUUAAGGUGUCUUCGUCCAUCAGUCUCUAUUGGGUUUUUUUCACUCCCUUCCAUGGAAAUUCUCCUUGACUUGGCAAAUCUAGGAGUGGUAACUGAGUGAAAAUGAACUUGAAUGGGAAUCCCUUCAAAGGGUCCUCAAUACUGCAUUCACAGAAUUUAAGUGGUGCUUAGGAUCCUGGUGGGACAAACCCGGUUCUCUGCCUGCCCUUCACCUUCACCCUGGAAUAUUGCUUGUAUGAAUUAUACAAGCUAAUUCUUACAUGGGAUCAAGAGUGGGACACUUACAAAAGGAAAAAUACCAUACUUCAUGUUUUAUAGUCAAAUGAAAGUAACAAACAUUUAGAUUAUAUAACAAAUCAGCAAAAUCAAACAAAUUCCAAAUACCACUACCUCUGUCCUCAGCCUGCACUCAAUUUGUCCUUACUCACGCCUUGAUGAGGUAUUGCAGAGGUUUGACAUUAGCACAGGGUAGUUAUUACAUGACAUUUUAAUGCAAAAAGAACCAACGUGAGUUAAGGAAGGAGAGGAGAGGAGAGGAGAGGUGUUUAAGCCUUAACUUUUGAAAUUCUUUGCAUUUGUUCCAGCCUCAGAGUGCAGUUAGCUCUAUUUGAUAAGUGACUACAUAAAGAUGGCAUCUCUUCUUACUCAACACAUGGGUCUAUUCUGGGUCAUGUUUUCAAACUUUAUUGACCUAAGUAAAUUUUUGCGGCUUUUCAUAUUAGCAAUGCAGAGCCAGUGGGAUGGAAUGAGUUGUGGAUUCUAUUCUAUCUUGUUCCUCAUCAAGACAAUUGUUUACCAACUUUCAGUCAACUACAUCUCACUGCAUAGGUGUCAGUGAACUGUUAUUACUGGUGAUGACGCACAAGAUGGAAACUUGCAGGGCUGGCAGACAAGUAAAAAGGCAUUUUCCCUAACGAUCAAGCACAUUUGAUACAGAAAUCAGUGACAGACAUGGACACAGAGCCCCACAAUGUCACUCUUUGAAGAAUCGCUUUAAACUGUGCUCGUUUUAGAAUAAAAGAAAUGUAGCGCUGGAAUGGACCUCAAGAGGUCAUCUAAUUCAGCUCCCUGCGCUGAGGCAGGACCAAGCAUGGGUGGCACGUAAUGGAGGUUAGGGGAGGCUAAGCCUCCCAAACCUUGCACUGUCCAGGGAGAUGGUGGCAAUGGCAGAUUACUGCAUGGGCCUACAGGACCCCAGCCAAUUUGGGGUUCCCAGAAAAAUCUCCCCUCUCCAUAGCCCGAGGCCUGGAGGAGCAAGUCUUGGGGCCACAGAGAGAGAGUGAGUGAGUGUGUGUGUGUGGGCUGAGAAGAGCAAGUGGGGGGGCAGGGCCAUGAGGGAAGGUGCGGAACAGGGGAGGAGAGGCUCCAGGCUCAGAGUUCCAGCAAGGGCUGAAAGCUUCACCAUGGUCCCUGCUGGGACUUAGGGCUUGACCCUGGACAAGCUCUCAGCCCCGGGCCUCCCAUGGCCCUUACCAAGCUCUCAGCCAUUCCCACCCCCCGCCCUGGCUGGGGCCACGUGGAGGGGCUGAGAGCAGCGAGUGGGGGCCUGGCCUCGGCUGGAAGAGGCAGGGCAGGGGGCUUCACCUGAAACCCAUGAGAGCCAGUAAAUCUAGACCACCCCAACAAGUGUUUGGCUAACCUAUUCUUAAAAACCUACAAUGACAGGGAUUCCAAAACAUCUCUCACUAACCAGUUCCUGUACUUAGCUAUCCUUAUAGUUAGAAGGUUUUUCCUAAUAUCUAACCUAAUUCUCCAUUGCGCCCAUCACUUCUUUUCCUACCCUUGGUGGACAUGUACGACAAUUGAUUACCGACCUCUUUGUAAAACCUUUAACAUAUUAGAAGACUAUCAGGUCCACCCUGAGACAUCUCUCUUUUCACAGUUUUUUCACCCUUUCCUCAUACGUCAAGUUUUCUAAACUUAUCAUUUUUGCAGCUCUCCUCUGGACUCUCUCCAAUUUGUCUACAACUUUCUUAAAGGAUGGUGCUCAAAGUUGGACACAGUACUCCAGCUGAGACCUCACCAGUGCUGUGUAGAGUGGGACAAUUAUGUCCCAUGUCUUACAUACACCACUCCUGUAAACAGAGCUGUCCCUAGGGGGGUGCGGGGCCUGGUACAAAUCAGCCCCCGCCGACUUGGGGGCCUGCUCUGCAUCAGCAGCUGGGCAGAGCCCUGGGCAUGCAGGGCAGCAGCUGGGACCCCAGGCCAGCAGCCGAGAGCCUGGAGGUGCUGCAUCAUCCCCCACACUCAUAGUUCCUGCACCUAUGUCUUCCGGGACCGAUCACGGUGGCCAAUCGCACUGGCCUGCGGGGUCCCCCAAAGCGCAGGGCCCAGUGCGAUUGCCCUGAUUCACCCUACCCAAGGGACUGCUCUGCCUGUUAAUACACCCCAGAAUAUUAGCCUUUUUCAUUGCAUGAAAGUGUUGAUCCAUAUUCACUUUAUGAUUCACUAUCACCCCAAAAUCCUUUUCAGCUUUGCUCAGCACAUUAAAAGUAGACAGGAUGAAAAGCAGUUUUCACCAUUAAUAAAGAUAUUUAACUGAAAAUACAAUUAUGUACAACGGUUAUUAUGAGCCCAAUACUGAUGCCUGCCAUUUACUGACCUCUGUGUGACACUGACAGAAUGAUACUCAAAAGCAUUCCCAUCCUGCUUUAACACUGACCUAAGAAAUGAAAUACCAUCUUGCAUGUUUAAUAUUUAAACAAACCGAUUAAGUUCAUUUUUGGAUGGUUUCACCAAUAUUAACAUAGGAUGGAAACUAGUUCGGUAUGUUAUGCUGGAACUCCCACCUUGCCAGUCUCCAAAUGAGGUCAUUUUUUGGUGUCAGGAGUUUCACCAACUGAAGUUCAGAAAUCCCCUUUGUAACUUAUUUUAUUUUCAAAAACUGUUCUAAGUUUGUUAAAGUAGAAGAAGGUUCCUCCCCCUAACGCUGAACUUUCAGAAACACCAAGCUGAAGGAGAGGAGUACAGUUUUCCUCUGUGAAUGCAAAGAGAUUUUGCCUAUAGUGGUACAAACACAACAUACGUUAUGAAGGAACAAGGGUCUAGUUUUGUAAGUUAAUGACUGCCCUCAGCCGCCACUGAUGCCACUCAAUGUGCCUGAUUCUGCUUUUUACAGUUAACAGGAGUUUUGUCAUUGACUUCACAGGGAAAAGGAUUCAGUGCUAAGAUUGACAACAUGGAUAAACACAUGUAUUGUACGAAAAGGCAUAAAGAGGGGGGUUUCUCCUCCAAUGUAACUUGUAUUAUUUGAUAGCUCAUAAUUAUUUUAAUCUACCUUCAGCAUUUAUAUAGCACCAAUAACCAAUGGUUUCACUGUUAAGGCACUGGACUGGGACUCCAAUGACCUGGGUUCUAGCCCCAAAUUUGCAACCAGCUUCCUGUGUGGUUUAGGUAAAUCAUUUCAUUUUUCUGUACCUCAUUUCCCCAUUCGUAAAAUGGGGAUUUAAUACAAACAUCCCACUUCACAGGAAUGUUCAUGGUUAUAAGGUGCACAGAUACUACAGUGAUAAGCACCACAAAAACGCCUAUAAACAAAUGAUAAAUCUAUGCAUAGAUUUAUUGGUUAAAAAUAUUCUUCUGUGUGUACCAAUUUUGAUAGUGUGCAAUAUGAGACAACAGGAAUUAGCUCCUGUUCCUCAUGUUAGUCCCCAUUCACACACUUUGGGUGAAAUCCUGGCCCAAUGAAGUGAGUGGUAAGAAAACGACUCCCAUUGACUUCUGUCAGGCCAGGAUGUCACCCUGUGACAAAAAAUCAUUGUUGAUGCUGUCUGAGCUAACUGGGUUUGUAGGGUAAAUCCUCCACAGUUAAUAGAUUAUUUCCCUUAACAGACCGUAGAAAGCACCUCUGGAAACAUGACUAUUGACUGUAUCACACUGGCUGCUGCACAUAUACACUAAGUCCACACUGUUAAAAAUCCUUGGGUUGAAAUAAGUUACUGCAAAUGCACCAUAGCUGAUUUUGAAACCACGACACUGCUACCAUUUAUUAUCAUCAUUUUUACAAAAUACCCAAAGUGAUCAGAUCAUAUGGUAGAUUACUGGCUUGCCAAAGGUUAUGUUUUAAAUCAAAACCGUUUUUGAGUUAUACAAGUGCCAAAAAUAUCUUGAACCAACCAUUUUUUUAAAAUCAACCCCUGUCCAACAAAACAGUUGUAUAAUUUAAAACAGAACCAAAAGUUUGUGUUGGAAAUUGUUUAAAAACCAACCCUCCAAAUCAUGUUUGAGCAGAAGCCUUGUAUGGCAAGAUUUAGCCUGGGGCAAUUUGGUGCCAAGGUAUAGACUCCCGCUAUGGGUUUAUAAUGGAAAUACUGACACAACCUUAACUAUAGUGAUGCAAAUGUGCCCCUAAAACACUGUAUUUGUUUUUAUUAAUAGAAGUGGUAGUGUUUACAUUUGCAGGUAUCUUACACUUCAGCAUCAAUGAAUACUGAGUAGAAUGAGUAAAGUCUUGGAUGUAAGGGUCAGAAAUUCCCAAACAGGUGAAUGAGACAAAAGGUGAAAGUCCUCAAUUAUGAAAACAAGAAGUUCAAAUAAAUAAAUGAGGGAAAGGGAGGGAAAAUAACAAAACUAAGAAAAUAUAAGCAAGCUUUAAGUUGGAAUGGUUCAAAUAACUUCAAAUUAUGGCUACUAAAUUAAAGACAGAAGAAAACACAGUUACUAAUUAAAUAGCAAGCAUUAAAGCUUUAUGGUUUUGUAUUAAAAAUAAAAACAAAACAAAAAGGAAAAGCUUUUAAAAAUAAGACUUGCGUUUACCAGGCCACCAAACUGCAUGGACUACUAAAGAAACUAACAAAGGCAAUACUGAGACAUUAAGACACACACACACUCCAUACAUGUGCAACCUGACUUUUCAAUACACUGCCUUUUCUCUCUCUCUCUC